UACAGGGGGGGCAAGCGUUGUUCGGAAUUACUGGGCGUAAAGGGUUCGUAGGUGGCCACUUAAGUCAGACGUGAAAUCCCUCAGCUUAACUGGGGAACUGCGUCUGAUACUGGGUGGCUUGAGUGCAGGAGAGGGAUGCGGAAUUCCAGGUGUAGCGGUGAAAUGCGUAGAUAUCUGGAGGAACACCGGUGGCGAAAGCGGCGUGCUGGACCUUUUCUGACGCUGAGGCGCGAAAGCUAGGGGAGCAAACGGG
rnacentral:rRNA from 1 species